GGCCGCGCUGACAGCCGGUCCCACCGCCUCCCCCGCCCGCCAGCGGCGCCCACUCCCCGCCCGCCCCCGCCGCCCGGGGAGCCCCGCGGGGUACGGAGCGCCCGCAGAUGAGCGGCUGCAGCCAGGAAGAAAGUUCAAACGGUGGCGGUCGCGCACCUACCCGCUGUCUGCAAUGUCUCCUCCGGGCGCGGGGUGCUAAGACGAGGUGAAAUCCCUUUGCUGGUCAUAAGGCGGCUUCAGAGACAAACAACACAAUGCGAGUGCAAAUAACAAAAGGAGAAAAAAAAAGAAAAACAGGAGAGGGAGACCGGGAACAAUGGGGGAGGAGAGGCUCGCCUCGCCGCGCCGCGCCUGGCCGCCGCCGGCACCCGGGCAGGCAGGAGGAGGAGGCGGAGGAGGAAGGCGAGGUAGCAGCAGCGGGGAGGGGGCUGCCCCGACCUCCUCCCCUCCGGUUGUCGCCGCUCGCCCCGCCGCGCACCGGGGCGGCCCUACGUAGCGGCGGGGCGGCUAGCGGUAAGUGACGCGCCCGCCGCCGCUGCAGAGCCCGGUAAUGGCCAUCGCGGACGCUAUCACCAUCGUCCCUCGGAGAGGACGGCUGUCUGACGGCUGAACGAGCGGUUUAAAGCGGCGGGGGGGUACCGAGCCCUUCCCGCCUUUCGCCCUCCUUUCCGGGAACUUCACCAAGCAGGGCUGUCGCGAGUCCCGGGGACGUCGCUGCCGGGUCCCUUCCCGAGGAGCAGUCCCCCUCCCGCUCUUUGCUAAGGGUAAACACCCGCGAGUUGCGUGUCCGUGGGCGUGUGCGUGUCCGCCGGCACCUUCUGCACCGGCAACCCGUGUCACAUCGGAGCGACCGCACGCACCGCCGCCCGGGGGACCCCCGCCGCAACCUCUCUCCUCAGUUCUCUCCCUUGAUUUCCGGGACCCCCAGCCGGGCGCAGACCCCAUGCCUGCGCAGGUACCCGAGGGGGGAAAGCAGAAGUUUGGGGUCCCCGUGCGCCUUUCCGCUCCGCGCUCUCCGCGCAGGCCAGUGACGAGACGCCGCCCCGCGCUCCUCAGCCGCGGCGGGUCUGAAGAUCGCCGCUGCCCUCCCCGCCGCCCGCUCCGCCAGUGUGGGGUCCCGCGAGUGGGUUACCUCAGCGACGGGCGGCCUGCGGGCUCCCCGCCCGCCCGGGGGGGGCCGCCGCGGGGCUGCAGCUCUCCGCCCUCCGCCUAGUUGCCUGAAAUCCGUCCCCGGGGCGGAGGGGUCGGCGGAGCUCCCGCUGUGUCGCUGCUCCCCCGGGCAGGCGAGGAGCGAGUGUUGCGCCUGGCUCAGCAGCCCAUCUCUGCCCCGGACCCCCCGGUUACCUCCUCCUCCUCUCCGCCAGCACUCCCCGCCGCUCCUCGGGUGAGCCCGGCCGCGUCCCGCGCUGGUCUCUCGUCCCGGCCACCCGCGGGGACCCGGCCGCUCCCGGGGCUUCGCGCCUGGGUGAGGGUAUGUGUGUGGGUGUGUGGGGUGGGUUGGGUUGUGUUUUCCUCUCGGCAACCGUUUGUUCUGCCUGUACUCAGUACAGCUGUCGGGGUGCGACGGGCCCCUGUCCGCGGUCGGCGGGAAUGAGCGGAGGAACAGGGGGAGCGACCGAGGGAGCCCACCGCCGCUAAUAAAGUCAGGCUCUGCAAGUAA